rnacentral:rRNA from 1 species
ACCUACGGGACGCAGCAGUGGGGAAUAUUGGGCAAUGGGCGCAAGCCUGACCCAGCAACGCCACGUGAAGGAAGAAGGCUUUCGGGUUGUAAACUUCUUUUCUCAGGGACGAAGAAAGUGACGGUACCUGAGGAAUAAGCCACGGCUAACUACGUGCCAGCAGCCGCGGUAAUACGUAGGUGGCAAGCGUUAUCCGGAUUUAUUGGGUGUAAAGGGCGUGUAGGCGGGAGCGCAAGUCAGAUGUGAAAACUAUGGGCUCAACCCAUAGCCUGCAUUUGAAACUGUAUUUCUUGAGUGCUGGAGAG